GUCUUUGUAGUGUAGCGGUUAGCACGCUGGACGCGUAUUCAAGAGGUCCGUGGUUCGAGUCCCGGCGAGGGUA
rnacentral:tRNA from 1 species